rnacentral:rRNA from 1 species
ACUCUAAGCGGUGGAUCACUCGGCUCAUGGGUCGAUGAAGAACGCAGCAAACUGUGCGUCAUCGUGUGAACUGCAGGACACAUGAACAUCGACAUUUUGAACGCAUAUCGCAGUCCAUGCUGUUAUGUACUUUAAUUAAUUUUAUAGUGCUGCUUGGACUACAUAUGGUUGAGGGUUGUAAGACUAUGCUAAUUAAGUUGCUUAUAAAUUUUUAUAAGCAUAUGGUAUAUUAUUGGAUAAAUAUAAUAAUUUUUAUUCAUAAUAUUAAAAAAUAAAUGAAAAACAUUAUCUCACAUUUGAAUGUGAAAAACGAAGAGAAAUAUUUUCUUUUUCAAUCAAAUAAUACUGAGAAAUGUCUAGCAUAAAAAAUUGAAAUAUUUUUCAUCUAGAAUUGUCUCUUAUUAAUGAUUCGGAAAUAGAAAAAUCUUGGUUAUGUUAUUAUUCUUCGUUGGUUCGUUAAAAAUGGAUAAAUAAAAACUUUGCAUACAAGAAUUAAUAAAAAUGUUAUAACGAAUUUAAUUAAAUGUUUUAUCAUUAUAUAUAAAGAAUUUAUGGCAAGAUAAAGUUAUAUACAACCUCAACUCAUAUGGGACUACCCCCUGAAUUUAAGCAUAUUAAUUAGGGGAGGAAAAGAAACUAACAAGGAUUUUCUUAGUAGCGGCGAGCGAAAAGAAAACAGUUCAGCACUAAGUCACUUUGUCUAUAUGGCAAAUGUGAGAUGCAGUGUAUGGAGCGUCAAUAUUCUAGUAUGAGAAAUUAACGAUUUAAGUCCUUCUUAAAUGAGGCCAUUUACCCAUAGAGGGUGCCAGGCCCGUAUAACGUUAAUGAUUACUAGAUGAUGUUUCCAAAGAGUCGUGUUGCUUGAUAGUGCAGCACUAAGUGGGUGGUAAACUCCAUCUAAAACUAAAUAUAACCAUGAGACCGAUAGUAAACAAGUACCGUGAGGGAAAGUUGAAAAGAACUCUGAAUAGAGAGUUAAACAGUACGUGAAACUGCUUAGAGGUUAAGCCCGAUGAACCUGAAUAUCCGUUAUGGAAAAUUCAUCAUUAAAAUUGUAAUAUUUAAAUAAUAUUAUGAGAAUAGUGUGCAUUUUUUCCAUAUAAGGACAUUGUAAUCUAUUAGCAUAUACCAAAUUUAUCAUAAAAUAUAACUUAUAGUUUAUUCCAAUUAAAUUGCUUGCAUUUUAACACAGAAUAAAUGUUAUUAAUUUGAUAAAGUGCUGAUAGAUUUAUAUGAUUACAGUGCGUUAAUUUUUCGGAAUUAUAUAAUGGCAUAAUUAUCAUUGAUUUUUGUGUUUAUUAUAUGCACUUGUAUGAUUAACAAUGCGAAAGAUUCAGGAUACCUUCGGGACCCGUCUUGAAACACGGACCAAGGAGUCUAACAUAUGUGCAAGUUAUUGGGAUAUAAACCUAAUAGCGUAAUUAACUUGACUAAUAAUGGGAUUAGUUUUUUAGCUAUUUAUAGCUAAUUAACACAAUCCCGGGGCGUUCUAUAUAGUUAUGUAUAAUGUAUAUUUAUAUUAUUUAUGCCUCUAACUGGAACGUACCUUGAGCAUAUAUGCUGUGACCCGAAAGAUGGUGAACUAUACUUGAUCAGGUUGAAGUCAGGGGAAACCCUGAUGGAAGACCGAAACAGUUCUGACGUGCAAAUCGAUUGUCAGAAUUGAGUAUAGGGGCGAAAGACCAAUCGAACCAUCUAGUAGCUGGUUCCUUCCGAAGUUUCCCUCAGGAUAGCUGGUGCAUUUUAAUAUUAUAUAAAAUAAUCUUAUCUGGUAAAGCGAAUGAUUAGAGGCCUUAGGGUCGAAACGAUCUUAACCUAUUCUCAAACUUUAAAUGGGUAAGAACCUUAACUUUCUUGAUAUGAAGUUCAAGGUUAUGAUAUAAUGUGCCCAGUGGGCCACUUUUGGUAAGCAGAACUGGCGCUGUGGGAUGAACCAAACGUAAUGUUACGGUGCCCAAAUUAACAACUCAUGCAGAUACCAUGAAAGGCGUUGGUUGCUUAAAACAGCAGGACGGUGAUCAUGGAAGUCGAAAUCCGCUAAGGAGUGUGUAACAACUCACCUGCCGAAGCAACUAGCCCUUAAAAUGGAUGGCGCUUAAGUUGUAUACCUAUACAUUACCGCUAAAGUAGAUGAUUUAUAUUACUUGUGAUAUAAAUUUUGAAACUUUAGUGAGUAGGAAGGUACAAUGGUAUGCGUAGAAGUGUUUGGCGUAAGCCUGCAUGGAGCUGCCAUUGGUACAGAUCUUGGUGGUAGUAGCAAAUAAUCGAAUGAGACCUUGGAGGACUGAAGUGGAGAAGGGUUUCGUGUGAACAGUGGUUGAUCACGAGUUAGUCGGUCCUAAGUUCAAGGCGAAAGCCGAAAAUUUUCAAGUAAAACAAAAAUGCCUAACUAUAUAAACAAAGCGAAUUAUAAUACACUUGAAUAAUUUUGAACGAAAGGGAAUACGGUUCCAAUUCCGUAACCUGUUGAGUAUCCGUUUGUUAUUAAAUAUGGGCCUCGUGCUCAUCCUGGCAACAGGAACGACCAUAAAGAAGCCGUCGAGAGAUAUCGGAAGAGUUUUCUUUUCUGUUUUAUAGCCGUACUACCAUGGAAGUCUUUCGCAGAGAGAUAUGGUAGAUGGGCUAGAAGAGCAUGACAUAUACUGUUGUGUCGAUAUUUUCUCCUCGGACCUUGAAAAUUUAUGGUGGGGACACGCAAACUUCUCAACAGGCCGUACCAAUAUCCGCAGCUGGUCUCCAAGGUGAAGAGUCUCUAGUCGAUAGAAUAAUGUAGGUAAGGGAAGUCGGCAAAUUAGAUCCGUAACUUCGGGAUAAGGAUUGGCUCUGAAGAUUGAGAUAGUCGGGCUUGAUUGGGAAACAAUAACAUGGUUUAUGUGCUCGUUCUGGGUAAAUAGAGUUUCUAGCAUUUAUGUUAGUUACUUGUUCCCCGGAUAGUUUAGUUACGUAGCCAAUUGUGGAACUUUCUUGCUAAAAUUUUUAAGAAUACUAUUUGGGUUAAACCAAUUAGUUCUUAUUAAUUAUAACGAUUAUCAAUUAACAAUCAAUUCAGAACUGGCACGGACUUGGGGAAUCCGACUGUCUAAUUAAAACAAAGCAUUGUGAUGGCCCUAGCGGGUGUUGACACAAUGUGAUUUCUGCCCAGUGCUCUGAAUGUCAAAGUGAAGAAAUUCAAGUAAGCGCGGGUCAACGGCGGGAGUAACUAUGACUCUCUUAAGGUAGCCAAAUGCCUCGUCAUCUAAUUAGUGACGCGCAUGAAUGGAUUAACGAGAUUCCUACUGUCCCUAUCUACUAUCUAGCGAAACCACAGCCAAGGGAACGGGCUUGGAAUAAUUAGCGGGGAAAGAAGACCCUUUUGAGCUUGACUCUAAUCUGGCAGUGUAAGGAGACAUAA